rnacentral:rRNA from 1 species
CCUACGGGUGGCAGCAGUGGGGAAUAAUGGGCAAUGGGCGCAAGCCUGACCCAGCAACGCCGCGUGAAGGAAGAAGGCUUUCGGGUUGUAAACUUCUUUUCUCAGGGACGAAGAAAGUGACGGUACCUGAGGAAUAAGCCACGGCUAACUACGUGCCAGCAGCCGCGGUAAUACGUAGGUGGCAAGCGUGAACCGGAGUUAUUGGGGGUAAAGGGCGUGUAGGCGGGAGCGCAAGUCAGAUGUGAAAACUCAGGGCUCAACCCUGAGCCUGCAUUUGCAACUGUGUUUCUUGAGUGCUGGAGUGCCAAUCGGUAUUCCGUGUGUAGCGGUGAAUUGCGUAGAUAUACGGAG